rnacentral:rRNA from 1 species
UACGGGAGUGGCAAGCGUUAUCCGGAAUUAUUGGGCGUAAAGCGUCCGCAGGCGGCCUUUUAAGUCUGUUGUUAAAGCGUGGAGCUUAACUCCAUUUCAGCAAUGGAAACUGGAAGGCUUGAGUGUGGUAGGGGCAGAGGGAAUUCCCGGUGUAUCGGUGAAAUGCGUAGAUAUCGGGAAGAACACCAGUGGCGAAGGCGCUCUGCUGGGCCAUAACUGACGCUCAUGGACGAAAGCCAGGGGAGCGAAAGGGAUUAGAUACCCCUGUAGUCCUGGCCGUAAACGAUGAACACUAGGUGUCGGGGGAAUCGACCCCCUCGGUGUCGUAGCCAACGCGUUAAGUGUUCCGCCUGGGGAGUACGCACGCAAGUGUGAAACUCAAAGGAAUUGACGGGGGCCCGCACAAGCGGUGGAGUAUGUGGUUUAAUUCGAUGCAACGCGAAGAACCUUACCAGGGUUUGACAUCCUGCGAAUCCCUUGGAAACGAGGGAGUGCCUUCGGGAGCGCAGUGACAGGUGGUGCAUGGCUGUCGUCAGCUCGUGUCGUGAGAUGUUGGGUUAAGUCCCGCAACGAGCGCAACCCACGUCGUUAGUUGCCAGCAUUCAGUUGGGCACUCUAGCGAGACCGCCGGUGAUAAACCGGAGGAAGGUGUGGAUGACGUCAAGUCAUCAUGCCCCUUACAUCCUGGGCUACACACGUACUACAAUGCUACGGACAAAGGGCAGCAAACUCGCGAGAGCUAGCAAAUCCCAUAAACCGUGGCUCAGUUCAGAUCGUAGGCUGCAACUCGCCUACGUGAAGGAGGAAUCGCUAGUAAUCGCAGGUCAGCAUACUGCGGUGAAUACGUUCCCGGGCCU